rnacentral:lncRNA from 1 species
CAAAAUCUGAAUGUGCCAUCAUUUAUUUCAUCCUUCUCUUCAGCGUGAUUUAGUCUGCUCCCCCUGUUACAAGGAGAGCACGGCAAAUAUGUCUUUAGGAUCGUGUGUUUAGUCUCUUUUAAGAUGGAUUUCCAGAUGUGUUGCUUUGUGCAUCUGAGCUUUUAAAAUUUUGAAAGAAUGCUGAAUUGGUUCUUUUAAGAAAGCUGAGCCAGUGGACAAGAUUACUGUCAAGGAAAGGUUUGCUGACCGCUGCCCUAGGCCACAGACUCAGGGAAGCCACAUUCUGGCUCCAGCUCCGCUCCUAAUCACAAACAAAGCAUUUCACCUCUCCGGUUUCAGACUUUUUAUCUGAAAAAAGUGUGCUGCUUGGACAAAGUGUCUCAGUUCUCAAGCAUCUGUAAAAAUUUGGGAAGGCUGGGAAAGCAAUUCAUACUCAAGUGUGAAUGGUUGAUACCUUCCAGGAGUACUCGCCUUUGAAAAUGACCCCUGAAGAGGCAACUCCUUAACCAAAGAGAUGACGUGCUAACAGCAGGAUUUCAGGCAUCGGCCAUGGGUGGAUGGUGGUGAUGCUGCUGAAGGGGCCCCGUCCCAGCAUCAUUCAAUGCUCAGAGGGUCGCCUCUUCUGGCUCCAUCCCCAACCGAUUGCAGCCAAUUGUUGAGGUUCCAGGCCUGGGGUUGUCAAAGUUUCCAGUUUGUCAAAUGAAACCAGAAAUCUGGAAGUCUAUGUGAAAUCUGAUUUUCAAAUGUUGGCCGUUCAUUUCAAAAAAAUUAAAAGCAUCGAGCUGGCCUCCAAAAGCACAUCGACAGGUCUAAUUUGGCCCUGGAGCUGCCAGUUUGAGACCUUUGAGAGGGAAACACCUAAACUUUGGACUCAGGAGUCUGGACUGGCGUCUCAGCUCUGUCAGCGACAGUGCGGCCUGUGGGCAUAGCCCCGAGGCCUCUGAGCAUAAGUUCUCUCAUCUCCACAGUGGGAUCGUGGUCCCGGACAUCGCAGGGAGAUCAUGAGGCUCACUAUCCCUUCCAGGGAGGGCUUCACACAUGGACGUCCUUCCUUUCCUGACCUCAAGACUUGGCAGUGUUCUGGAUGACAAGAGAAGGGAAGUUGGGGCUGGUGACCUGGUGGGUUUGAGGUUCUGCCCACCGCUCUGUGUCUCGUUGCUUCUGGAAGCGAGGGCCAGACUUACGUGGCUCUGAGCUGUUCCUGCUGUGUGCCUGCUCCCGGGCCACCUGCUAGCCCCAGGGUCAUCACCUCUGGACUCCAAGGGACCCCAGGAGCGUCGGGAUUCGGAGAAGCGAGCUCUACCUGGACACACAUCCACCCCAGUCCUGCCCAUAAGUGUCUCUGCCCAGCUCGUGAGCUUCCUGAGGGCGGAGACCUCGUCCUCUCUGGGUGCCAGGGCUCCAUAACGUGCCUGGCCCCAGGGUGCCCGUUAAACUGACAUGAAAUGAAUGUCCCUGAGCUCGUACCCAUAGGACAGGACUCUAAAUAUCAUCGGAUCACAUCAUGAGAAAGCGAUGGCCUUUUCUACUCCGUGCCAGUCUUUCUCAUGACAUCAAGGAGAACAUCUUGGGCUGGCGCCAGGACGUCUUGACGCCUCCCCGCCCUCGCCCAUCCGCACCCAGAGCCAAGAACAGGCGGUCUAGGGCCCAGACCUAGCAGACCAGUGUACCAGCAAGAGUAAGAGCAUUGCUUCAUUUUAGAAUCACCUUCAAUUCUGAGCAAGCGGUGCUGGUUUCCCGCUUAUAACAGCAACGUAAAGUUUCUUUUAAAUGUGUUUUAAAUUUUAAAACAAUUUCAGACUUAGAGAAAAGUUGCAAAAGUCAUACAAAGAAUUCCUGGAUAUCCUUUAUCCAGAUUCCCUAGUAUUAACAUUUUUCUACUUUCUCUCUCUCUCUCUUUUUCUCCCCACUACCUACCCACACGCACACAUGCACAGAGAUUAUUUUUUUCUGAACCAUCUAAAAACAGGUUUUCUUGGGGCCAGCCCGGUGAUGGAGUGGUCAGGUUGCCCACUCUACUUUGGUGGCCUGGGGUUUGCAGGUUCGGCUCCCUCGUGUGGACCUGCGCACAGCUCAUCAAGCCACGCCGUGGUGGCCUCUCACAUACAAAAUAAAGGAAGAUGGGCACGGAUGUUAGCUCAGGGCCAAUCUUCCUCACCCAAAAAAAAAAAAAUCAAUACUUUAGUGUAUAUUUCCUAAAAGCAGGAACAUUUUCUUACAUAACUACAGUACGCUUGUCAAAAUCAGGGAGUUGACACAGACACAGUACUGUUACCUAAUCUGGAGACCUCAUCCUGAUUUCACCCUCCGUCCCAGUAAAACCCCAGCUCACACUUUGCAUUCGGUUGCCGCGUCUCUUUAGCUCCUUUAACUGGCAACAGUUCUCGAGUCUUGGUAUUUUGCCAUCUUAGCAUUUUUGAAAAGUACGUGCCAGAUAUUUUGUAAAAUGGCUGAAGAGUCCUUUAAAAAUAAAGUUUUGAAAAAACGUGAAUCCAUUUAAAGAAAAACUCUUAAGUAAGCAAGAGAACAAAAUGUCCACAGAAAAAGCAAAACCACGAAGACUUACGUGGAAAAGUGAGGUUUGAGAGGUGUUGGCUGAAAUCAACUGCAUUCUGUCCCCGGGU